rnacentral:rRNA from 1 species
GCCAGACUCCUACGGGAGGCAGCAGUGGGGGAUAUUGCACAAUGGGGGAAACCCUGAUGCAGCGACGCCGCGUGAGUGAAGAAGUAUUUCGGUAUGUAAAGCUCUAUCAGCAGGGAAGAAAAAAGACGGUACCUGACUAAGAAGCCCCGGCUAACUACGUGCCAGCAGCCGCGGUAAUACGUAGGGGGCAAGCGUUAUCCGGAUUUACUGGGUGUAAAGGGAGCGUAGACGGCAAUACAAGUCGGAAGUGAAAUACCCGGGCUCAACCUGGGAACUGCUUUGGAAACUGUAUGGCUGGAGUGCUGGAGAGGUAAGCGGAAUUCCUAGUGUAGCGGUGAAAUGCGUAGAUAUUAGGAGGAACACCAGUGGCGAAGGCGGCUUACUGGACAGUAACUGACGUUGAGGCUCGAAAGCGUGGGGAGCAAACAGGAUUAGAUACCCUCGUAC